CGAUGCAGCGACGCGCGUGAGGGAUGACGGCUCGGUUGUAAACCUCUUCAGCAGGGAAGAAGCGCAAGUGACGGUACCUGCAGAAGAAGCACCGGCUAACUACGUGCCAGCAGCCGCGGUAAUACGUAGGGUGCGAGCGUUGUCCGGAAUUAUUGGGCGUAAAGAGCUUGUAGGCGGUUUGUCGCGUCUGCCGUGAAAAUCCGAGGCUCAACCUCGGACUUGCGGUGGGUACGGGCAGACUAGAGUGUGGUAGGGGAGACUGGAAUUCCUGGUGUAGCGGUGAAAUGCGCAGAUAUCAGGAGGAACACCGAUGGCGAAGGCAGGUCUCUGGGCCACUACUGACGCUGAGAAGCGAAAGCAUGGGGAGCGAACAGGAUUAGAUACCCUGGUAGUCCAUGCCGUAAACGUUGGGCGCUAGGUGUGGGACCCAUUCCACGGGUUCCGUGCCGCAGCUAACGCAUUAAGCGCCCCGCCUGGGGAGUACGGCCGCAAGGCUA
rnacentral:rRNA from 1 species